UGUUUGGUGCUCAGGCAGUAGCCCACUAGCCCAAAACUCCAAAUCUGAUUGUGCGAUUCAUCUGCUCAUCGGCUCACUCACAGCAACAGACCGGCGACCGCAGAAGCUCCCACGCCGACAUUAGAGGUUGACGGCAGCGUUGCAGGGAUUAAACUUUCAGUUUUGGUGAUCGGUGUAGAAAUCUACAUCUGGUUAUUAAGCCGGUUAUAGUGUUUACUUCAGCUGUUGCUGCGGCUUUAACCAAUCCGCGAUUAAAGCAUUGGCAGCGACUGGACAACAGGAAGUUCAUAAACA